ACUCUUAAAGGAUAAUAGCUAAUCCACUGGUCUUAGAAGCCAUUCAUCUUGGUGCAGGUCCAAGUAAAAGUA
rnacentral:tRNA from 1 species